CCUGGAACUUGAGCCUGGAGUUGCUCCCUCAGAUAGCUUCCUUGAGACGGUCACAUGAUUCUUACCAUUUUAUGAGGUAAUACCCCUCAUAAUCCUUCACAAUCCUCCAUAAGAUUUUGCAAAUGAGUUUAUAUUCUAAGUCAGUAUUGCCCUCGGCUGCCAGAUCGCUAUGCUUGGCAAAUUUUCACAAACCAAACCUUAAUGUCAUAUUAUCAGAUUUUGCCAGGAAUACUUCAAGACAACUAGUCCAGAAAAAUGCAUAUAAUAUCCAUGGAUUAAUCUGUCAAAGCAUUUAAAGUAUUGGUCUAGAUUCAAUUACAAAGUGUUUAUUAAAGAAAUUCAAAACAUGCUAGAGGAAUAUUCAAUGACCAUGGAUAGGUCACAUCAAUGUAAUAAAAAUAACAAU
rnacentral:lncRNA from 1 species